rnacentral:ncRNA from 1 species
UUGAGCGGCUUGAGCGGAAACCAUCACGAGCCGUUCUGAGGGGAGGGAGGCAUGGCGACAUGGCCUCCUUUACCCGAC